rnacentral:rRNA from 1 species
UCUUAGAUGUAAAUUUAAUAUUUAAUUUACCAGAGUACUAUGAAUCAUAUAAGGUUUAAAACUCAAAGGGCUUGGCGGUGUUUUAGACCUUUCAGGGGAACCUGUCUCAUAAUCGACAAUCCACGUUAAAUCUAACCUUAUCUUUGCAUUUCAGUUUGUAUACCGUCGUCGUCAGGUAACUUUCAAAAAUUUAGAAGUUAGCAAUGAAAGCAAUUUAAAUUAAAACGUCAGAUCAAGGUGCAGCCAAUAGGGAGGUGAAGAUGGGUUACAAUUAUUUAAUUUAUAAAAACGGAUAAAAUAAAUGAAAAUAUUUUAUGAAGGAGGACUUGAAAGUAAUGCUAACUAUAAAAUUAGUUUGAAUAAGGCUCUGGAACGUGC